rnacentral:rRNA from 1 species
GGAGUCAAAAGGACCAAGACACAAAACAAUGUCGUCCGCUCCAUGAAAAGACACCUUUGGAGACCGUCUACAUAACACGAAAACACGACUAGAUCCAUAAAUCCAUUAAGAGUAGCGACCAGACAAUCAAACCGUCGGAGAGAACCGCAACCCCCGCCCCUCCUCUACACCAUCAACGAGGCUGCCACCAAUGAAGUGGAUCAGAAGAUGGGUAACCCUUAUUCUUGAUUCGCACGGUGGCGAUCCUAGGCCCCCCACCUCCUCCAUCCAAGUGCAAUUUCAAUCAGGGGAGUCCACUUGUGCCCAUACGCUCUAUAUGUGACUCAAAGGCAUCAGCAAUCACUUUUCUCCUUGCUGUUAUGUCAUUCCCUCUUCUUUGAGAUCACAGGUACACGCCGCUACAAAGUCGUCAAGUCAGGCGGAUUUCACGGGAUUCGGUCAACGUUUGUCUUCGCUGGAUCCACAUGGAUCCGCUUUUUGUUCGUUUAUCUACAGAUUGGAUCCUUCCGAUCUAAACUUCUCUUCAACGGCGGCGGUUGAUGUUCUGGAAGGGAGAGACGAUGACGACGGCGCGCUUUCGACUCACUUCAGUGUUUGUAGUCGUUGCUAGGUGGUCUACGGAUCUGAAUGUUCGUGGAGGCGGUGGCACCAGUCUUCUCCAGGGAUGCUUGGAGAUCUGUGUGGCAGUCACCCGAAAAGUAAAAGAGCGCGUGCCACAUGAUCCAGAAUGACCUGAAUAAACUUGGCGCAUCAAAACGUCCAGGGAACAAAACGUGGUCCAUCGUGCAGUGCCCACGCGCACAGGCGAGGUAUCAGCAUAUAUACCUUUCACGCCCUUCUUCCCACGAUAGCAUUAUAUAUGUUCCAUAUUGCAAAUACAAACAAUAAUCCAUACAUACAUAAUAUGGUUACGCUUAAUAGGUACUACUCCCUCUGUAAACAAAUAUAACAUCGUUUAGAUCACUAAAAUAGUGAUCUAUAUGCUUUUAUAUUUCUUUACGGAGGGAGUACUAAUCAAGCUAAGCAUGAAUGCAUAAUGGAAUACUCUUUUCGUAAAUAAAUAUAAGAGCGUUUAGAUCAUUACAGAGUGAGUAUGCUUUACUAGCAGACUACUUAUAUCGUUGUUACUCUUAAUGAGAACGUUUUAUGUGCGUGCCGGUAGGUGAGAGCUAGCCCGGCAAUACGAGGACAUGCAUGCACGCCUUUGACUCCAAAACGGUCGGCGCUGGCAACGACCUCGCCAGCUCUAGCCCCAAAUCAUCAUCUUCCAACCCUAAACUUAUCUACUUAACUACCAGUUCCAGCACACAAUCAGAUAUACUAAUAAACAAAUCACUAGACACUAAAGAAUUUUUAUUUUUUUGCGGGUAAGACACUAAAGAAUUCUCCUGGUUGUGUGACUUUUCCUCCAAGGAGAGCAAUAGAGAAGGAUGGGAGGAGAUAUGCUUAGUUUUAUUUGCUCUAAUGAUUGAUAGAUCGAAUUUGUUUCAUUAUUGCAUUCAUCAUUGCUUUAUACUACGUUGAUCUUAUAUUGGUGAGAAAGCGUUUACUUACGGCUUUGUAUUUUUAGGUUAUUUAUCUUGGCCAACAUACAUGUUUCGGUGGUUAUACGACGCUAUAAAAUAAUGGGCAGAUUCUGCUUUUGCACGUAGGCUUGCCUUGUGCUGACCAGACGCACACGCACAUGCAUGUGUUCAUGCGUGCAUUCACCACACUCUCACUGGAUUAACAAAGUGAUUGUGCGGUACUUUUCUAUCUAGUAAUGACUUUGCUUCAUUGAGAGAGAUACUUUCACUCCCAUCACAAAACAGCACAGAUUCUUCUCGCGAUCGGCUCAGAGCUUGGUAUAACUUUUUUUUUGAGACAUGAGCUUGGUAUAACUUAGUGGACAAAGACAGGUGUGCCACAUCUACGAAAUAAGUUAAUCACAUUGCACCACUACUAAGACCACCAAUUAACGCGCAUGCUCUUUAUUCGCGUAUGAAUAUUGUACUGAAGUUUCAUAAAAAGGAAAAUUGUGAAAAUAUUGUGAUGGUGAAUUUCACAAUGUUAUUUUGUGUUUUGAAAUUCCCGUUUUAGCAAGAUAUAUAUUGCCGCAUACCAACAAGUUUCCUGUGCCACUUUUAACUAGAUUAUGCAAACAAUUCAUCUCUCUAGACUACAUCUGCGUCAUUCUGACAUGAUGGACCCACUUGUCAUGGUGAUGUAGCGCUCAUUGACACUAGUGAGUUGCAUGGCAACUAGGAUGCACAUUUACCUGAUACACCAUAGUUGGACGUUGUGGAAGCUGCAUUAGAUAAAAG